CGAGUAGAGUGGCGAACGGGUGAGUAACGCGUAAGAAUUUGCCCUUCAGUGAAGAAUACCCUCGAGAAAUCGAGGCUAAUACUGCAUACGUCCCUUCGGGGAGAAAGGUGGCCUCUUGCUACCGCUGAGGGAUAAGCUUGCGUACUAUUAGCUUGUUGGUGAGGUAAAAGCUCACCAAGGCUAUGAUGGUUAACCGGCCUGAGAGGGUGGUCGGUCACAUUGGGACUGAGAUACGGCCCAG
rnacentral:rRNA from 1 species